GGUUCUCUUCAUGAGUGACUAGUGGGGAAAUUCCUCGGACCCCUUGGCAGAAAUGCCCGAAUCCGCAAGGAUUUGUUUUCUUUGUUUUUGAAAUUUGGGUUAAGAU
rnacentral:RNase_MRP_RNA from 1 species